rnacentral:rRNA from 1 species
CCUACGGGAGGCAGCAGUGAGGAAUAUUGGUCAAUGGGCGGAAGCCUGAACCAGCCAAGUAGCGUGCGGGAUGAAUGCCCUACGGGUCGUAAACCGCUUUUGCACGGGGAUAACACCCUCCACUUGUGGAGGUCUGCAGGUACCGUGCGAAUAAGGGAUGGCUAAAUCCGUGCCAACAGCCGCGGUAAUUCGGCAGGCUAGAGCGUUAUCCGGGUUCAUUGGGGUUAAAUGGGGCGUAGGCGGGCGUCCAAGUCAGCUGUAAAAUCGCGCGGCUCAACCGCGCCCCGCAGUUGAAACUGGACGCCUUGAGUUCACGACAGGCAGGCGGAAUUCGUGGUGUAGCGGUGAAAUGCAUAGAUAUCACGAGGAACCCCGAUUGCGAAGGCAGCCUGCCGGGGUGCGACUGACGCUGAGGCUCGAAGGUGCGGGUAUCAAACAGGAUUAGAUACCCGAGUAGUC